rnacentral:rRNA from 1 species
AUUGAACGCUGGCGACAGGCCUAACACAUGCAAGUCGAGCGAGUGGCGGACGGGUGAGCAAUGUCUGGGAAACUGCCUGAUGGAGGGGGAUAACUACUGGAAACGGUAGCUAAUACCACAUACCAUCAUAUGUGCGCAGAUGGGAUUAGCUAGUUGGUGGGGUAACGGAUCACCAAGUCGACGAUCCCUAGGUGGUCUGAGCGGAUGACCAGCAACACGGGAACUGAGACACGGUCCAGACUCUUACGGGAGGCAGCAGUGGGGAAUAUUGCACAAGGGGCGCAAGCCUGAUCCAGCCAUGCCGCGUGUAUGAAGAAGGACGUCGGGUUGUAAAGUACUUUCAGCGUUGAGGCGUUACCAGCAGAAGAAGCACCGACUAACUCCGUGCCAGCAGCCGCGGUAAUUC